CGAAAUGCGAUAAGUAAUGUGAAUUGCAGAAUUCAGUGAAUCAUCGAAUCUUUGAACGCACCUUGCGCUCCUUGGUAUUCCUUGGAGCAUGCCUGUUUGAGUAUCAUGAAAUCUUCAAAGUAAAUCUUUUGUUAACUCAAUUGGUUUCUACUUUGGUAUUGGAGGUCCUUGCAGCUUCACACCUGCUCCUCUUUGUUCAUUAGCUGGAUCUCAGUGUUAUGCUUGGUUCCACUCGGCGUGAUAAGUUAUCUAUCGCUGAGGACACUGUAAAAGGUGGCCAAGGUAAAUGCAGAUGAACCGCUUCUAAUAGUCCAUUGACUUGGACAAUACUUUUAUGAUCUGAUCUCAAAUCAGGUAGGACUACCCGCUGAACUUAAGC
rnacentral:misc_RNA from 1 species